rnacentral:tRNA from 1 species
UGGCUCAAUUGGUAGAGCAUGGUGUGUGCAACGCCAGGGUUGUGGGUUUGAUUCCCAC